GUCGAGCGAGAAAAGGGGGGCAACUCCCUGAGUAAAGCGGCGCACGGGUGAGUAACACGUGGGUAAUCUGCCCUGGAGUGGGGAAUAACACCGGGAAACCGGUGCUAAUACCGCAUACGAUAACGAGGUCUGCGGACUUUGUUAUGAAAGGAGCAAUUCGCUCCAGGAGGAGCCCGCGGCUGAUUAGCUAGUUGGUGAGGUAAUGGCUCACCAAGGCUACGAUCAGUAUCCGGUCUGAGAGGACGGUCGGACACACUGGAACUGAGACACGGUCCAGACUCCUACGGGAGGCAGCAGUGGGGAAUUUUUGGCAAUGGGGGCAACCCUGACCAAGCAACGCCGCGUGGGUGAUGAAGUCUCUUGGGACGUAAAACCCUUUCGACGGGGAAGAAACCGCAAGGUUGACGGUACCCGUAGAAGAAGCCCCGGCUAACUCCGUGCCAGCAGCCGCGGUAAUACGGGGGGGGCGGGCGUUGUUCGGAAUUACUGGGCGUAAAGGGUGCGUAGCGGUGCUCUAAGUCGGAUGUGAAAACUCUGGGCUCAACCCAGAGCCUGCAUCCGAAACUGGAGUGCUAGAGUUCUGGAGGGGGUAGCGGAAUUCCUGGUGUAGCGGUGAAAUGCGUAAUAUCAGGAGGAACACCGGUGGCGAAGGCGGCUACCUGGACAGAGUCUGACGCUGAGGCACGAAAGCUAGGGGAGCAAACAGGAUUAGAUACCCUGUAGUCCUAGCCCUAAACGAUGGAUACUUGGUGUAGCUGGGAUGAAUCCCUGUGCCGAACUAACGCAUUAAGUAUCCCGCCUGGGGAGUACGUCGCAAGGCUG
rnacentral:rRNA from 1 species